UACAGGGGGUGCAAACGUUGCUCGGAAUCAUUGGGCGUAAAGCGCACGUAGGCGGUUUGUUAUGUCGGAUGUGAAAGCCCUUGGCUCAACUGAGGAAGUGCAUCCGAAACUGGCAAGCUAGAGUACUAAAGAGGAUCGCGGAAUUCCCGGUGUAGAGGUGAAAUUCGUAGAUAUUCGCAAGAACACCAGUGGCGAAGGCGGCUUACUGGUCCGGUUCUGACGCUGAGGCGCGAAAGCGUGGGGAGCAAACAGG
rnacentral:rRNA from 1 species